rnacentral:rRNA from 1 species
GUCGAGAAUAAUUCACAAUGGACGAAAGUCUGAUGGUGCAACGCCGCGUGGAGGAUGAAGGUCUUCGGAUUGUAAACUCCUGUCAUCGGGGAGUAAGACCUGGCGGUAAAUAGCCGACAGGGUUGAUAGUACCCGAAGAGGAAGGGACGGCUAACUUCGUGCCAGCAGCCGCGGUAAUACGAAGGUCCCAAGCGUUGUUCGGAAUCACUGGGCGUAAAGGGAGCGUAGGCGGCGUGGUAAGUCAGAUGUGAAAUCCCGGGGCUCAACCCCGGAACUGCAUCCGAUACUGCCAUGCUUGAGGGUUGGAGAGGUAGCUGGAAUUCUCGGUGUAGCAGUGAAAUGCGUGGAUAUCGAGAGGAACACUCGUGGCGAAGGCGAGCUACUGGACAACAUCUGACGCUGAGGCUCGAAGGCCAGGGGAGCAAAAGGGAUUAGAAACCCGAGUAGUCC